rnacentral:rRNA from 1 species
UACGUAGGGAGCAAGCGUUGUCCGGAAUCAUUGGGCGUAAAGCGCACGCAGGCGGUCUGCUAAGUUUGGAGUGACAGUUGGUGGCUUAACUGCCAAAGUGCUUCGAAAACUGACAGACUUGAGGGCUUCAGAGGGACACGGAAUUCCGGGUGGAGUGGUGAAAUGCGUAGAGAUCCGGAGGAACACCAAAGGCGAAGGCAGUGUCCUGGGGAGUACCUGACGCUCAGGUGCGAAAGCCAGGGGAGCGAACGGG